UUUUCAGCUAACGCCGCCCGGAAUUCCUGAAUUUCCUUUUGCAAUCUAUCACAUAUCGCAGACUUCCUCUUUAGCUCAUCACGAGCUUUCCCAACUUCCUCAAUGGCCAUAUCCUUCUCAGCGUUCGCCGCUCGCACCGCAAAGUGUCUUUCGUUCUGCACGAAAGAGAUGUUGUGUCGAAGCUCAUCUCGCUCAAUUCGGAGACGCCCGAUUUUCUCUUCAAACUUGUGAAUGUCGUCGACAUCUUUGAUAUUGGGUUGUGGGGCAUCCUGGAUCGAGUUUUGGAGAGUAUCAAUGCGAAUUUGGGCAUUUGACAACGCUCUCUGGGAAUCAGCUUCGAUAGCAGCAAGUUUUGACUCGUGCCCCUUCUUGGCCAGCUGCAGGGCUUCCCCCAAGGCCUCCUUUUCCAUGCGGAGCUGGAUUCGUUCCUCACCAUCUUCCCUGAUAUUCGCUUCCGCAGAUUCCUCUAGCUUACACUCCAACUCUGCGACCUGGUUUCGAAGAGUGAUGACGGUAGUCUCCGACUCUGCAAGCCGACAGCUUGUUUGUUCUGACAACCUGUUGGCUUCUGCAAGUUCUGUGGUUUUGUCCUGUAGGAGUUGUUCCAGCGACGUGAGUUCGGUGUUGAGAGUCUCCAGCUGUGUAUUCAAAGAUCUGGAGCAACAGUUUAUAAGCAUUAUGCCAAUUAAUCCACACAGGGAGACGGUAGAAAACUCACUCAAUCGUGUCCUUAGAUUGAGCUCGGUAAACUUCCAGUUCCUCCAUUGAGAUUUCAACCUUCCGUUGGGAAUCUGAAACUUUUUGCUCCAGCUCCUGCACCGUCUUCUCUGCGGCUUCUCGGGUUUCUUCAGCCACGGCAAGUUGGCUAACGAGCUGCGCAUUCACCGCCAUGCGGUCAGAAAGUUCUUGUGACACCCUGCUGAUUUCAUCCUGUAAUCCCUUGAUGGACAACACAUGCUCGUCAAAUUCGGCAUCGUCGUGGGACCUGCUAGCAAGGCUGAUUUCAAGAUCCUGGCGCUGUUGAAGAGCCUCCUCGAGCUCUCGAGUUUUGUUCUCAAGCGAAACUCUAAAUUCACUAAGUUGUUCAGCAGUGGAAGCAGCUUCCUCUUUAGCAGAAAUGGCGGCAGCCUGGUGUUCAUUCAGACUCGCUUGAACUUGAGCAAGUUGUUCGAUGAUUUGUUGAGCAUUGGCUUCUUUGACAGAAAGAUCAUCAUGGGCCUUUUGGAGAUCGAGUGUUACUGAUUGGUGUUCGGUUUUGAUACUCUGCCAAAACAAAGUCAGCUUCCACUGAUAGUUUUCCGGACACUUUCAAUAUUCACCUCAAUUUCGGUGUGCCCUCGCAAGUGUUGCUCUCGGAGAAGUUGCUCGGAUUCUCUCAAAACUUCCAAUUCCUUGGUUUUCUCGGAAAGCUGCCCUUCAAUCCUCACGAUCUCCUCCUCAUGCGCCUGAGCUUGCUUUCCGAGGUCAUCAACUAAUGCUGCCUUUUCUUCUUCAAGAGCCGCCACAAGACCAGGAUCAGCAGCCUGUGAGGCAAGUGAGGGGCAACCAGGCAAAGGAACGGCCGCUCUCAUCCUAGCGAGCUCCUCAUCCUUCUCAGCCAAAAGUUCAUCAUUCUCCUUGACCAGGCUUCCAAGAUAUUCCUUGUCUCGCAACGCCUUUUGCAAAUCUCGACGUGCCUGACGAAGUUCAGAGUCUCCCGACCUUGAGCCACCGGUGGUAGAGGCGGCCUUGAACUUUGCAAGCUCGACCUCGAGGGCAUUGAUCUUGGCGAGAGAAGCCUCAUCAACAAAGGAUUCGCUAUUUGGGGCAGCUUCAAGCUGUUGCCGAGUUUGUCUUUCUUCUUCAAGCUCUUCCUUCAGCUUUUGUACCAGUUGGGCUUCUUCUUCCAACCUAGCCAUCUCUGAAACUUGAUGCUCGACUUGCCGCUCCUUCUCGGCUAGCUUCUUGCUCAGGUCCUCCUUCUCUGCUUUGGCAGCCAGAGCUGUUUUCUUGAGCUCAUUCAACUGCUUCAUGUCUACGCCUCCAUCAGAACGGCGGUAAUACUCAAGCUCCCCGCUAAGCUCGUACAUCUCAUUCUCAAACCUUUCGGCAGUCUUCCGGGCAGAGACCUCGGCCGCAAGCUUUUCAUUUACCGCCUUGUCAUAUUCUCGCUUAGUAUUUGCCAGUUGCACUUUGAGGUGAUCCACUUGAGUUUCGAGAUCGCGGAGGUCUGCGGCAGUGACCGAUGCCCUUGGCUUUGAACGCUUCUGAGGAGAUUCAGGGUUGGAUGAGUCGGAAGUUAUAACGUUCUGCGGCGAGAGGCUCUCAAGCUUUGUCUGCAGCGAUUAUCAGAACAACUAGCAGACCUGCGGAAUACAACUUACUUUGAGCUCAGCAUUUUCAUUUUGCAAGGCCAUCAGUCUGUUCCGCUCUCGAUGGCUUAGAGACUAAGGGCAUUGGUUAGUGUAGCUCUAUUAUAGCGCUGGAGCCACGGACCUCAUCUGAUCCCCAUGAAUCCCCCGAAGAUGCGUGAUGCCUCAAUUUGUCCUUCUCAUCUUCUGCCUUUCUCAAGUUGUCUUCCAACUGUUUGAUUCUUGCUUGUUGACUCUUAAUCUGCAUAGCCGCCCCGUCGGAUCCUCUUGA
rnacentral:sRNA from 1 species